rnacentral:lncRNA from 1 species
CUCAUUCCUUUAUUCAACAAAUGGAACACCUGGGCAAUGAGGAUCUGACAGUGAAUCAGUGCCCCACCACCACCAAAAACACUGUCCUCAUGGAAUUUUUCUCAUAGACACAAGUAAACAAAACUGGAAAAAAAUCACGAGUGUCAGAGGGCAGCACCAGAUUCUACGGAGGAGACAGAACAGACUUCAAUUCCUCAUUCAGGUUGCUUAAAAAUAAACAACAAACAGCAGAGACUUCAAGGAGGUGAAAUAAACACUAUGGCCACGUAAAGGAGAAUAUUUCAAGCACAGGAAAGAGCAAGGGGAAUAGGAGCACGAGAAGUCAGACGCAAGAUCACAUGGAUCUUUGAAUGAAUCAUCUAAAACAGAUUUUCAGGGCCUGGUAUAGUGGCUCACACCUGUAAUCGAGAAGAUCACUUGAGGCCAGGAGGUCCAGACCAGCCUUGGAGCCUUGGGAAUAUAUCAAGACCCCAUUUCCGCAAGAAAUAUUUUGAAAUUAGCCAGCCAUGGUGGCAUACACCUGUAGCUCCAGCUACUCAGGAGGCUAAGGCAGAAGGAUCGCUUGAGCCCAGGAAUGCAAAGCUGCAGUGAGCUAUGAUUGUAUCACUGCAUUCCAUUCUGGGCAACAGAGUGAGAUCCUGCCUAUAAAAAAUAAAAGACUUCUACAAAAGAGGACAUAGACAAGGUAGGCAGUUAACAAUCCAAGUAGUAAUGGUGGUUAGUUUCAAAUAGCGAAAGGUGGUAAUAACUGAUUAGACUCCAGAUAUAUAUGGUUUGAAUCAACUGAAUGGUCAAGGAUGACCACAGAGGAUUUUGGCUUAAGCAACCAAAAGGGUGGGUACAAUUGAGAUGAUACCAUUUUAGAACAUUGUAUGUUAAAUGCCUGUCUGACAUCCAAGUGGGGAUAUCAAGUUGGCACUUAGACAAACCUUGAUCUCCCAAAGAAAGGUACAGGCUAGAAAUAUAAAAAUCUCCAUUAAUUUAAAACCAAGAACUUAGGGAGAGUAUAGAAACGUCUAAGGACCAAGCCCUAGGGUCUUUUUUUUUUUUUUUUUUUUGAGACAGAGUCUCACACUGUCACCCCUGCUGGAGUGCAAUGGCCCAAUCUCAGGUCACUGCAACCUCUGCUUCCCAGGUUCACGCGAUUCUCCUGCCUCAGUAUCCCAAGUGGCUGGGAUUACAAGUGCCCACCACCAUACCCGGCUAAUUUUGUAUAUUCAGUAGAGACAGGGUUUCACUGUGUUGCCAACCUGGUCUCUUAACUCCUGACCUCGUGAUCUGCCCACCUCGGCCUCCCAAAGUGCUGGGAUUACAGGCGUGAGCUACUGCACCCAACCAGCCCUACGGCCUUAUAAAACUGACUAAAAGUCUAAAAAAUGGAACUAGCAAAGGAGUAGCCAAUGAUGUAGGAGGAAAAGCUUGAGUCGAGGAUCCGGAAGACAGUUAAAAUCAGGAAGAAAUCAACUAUCAAGAAUCACUAAUAGGAUGAAGUGACAAGCAAAAGUCACUAACAGAGGUCAAAAGACCUCGAGUAAAAGAAUGGACCACUGGACUUAGCAACAAAAUCACUGCUAAUCUUAACAAUGAAAUUUCUUGGAGUGGUGUUGGAGGGAAAACCUAACUGCAACAAAUCCAAGAAAAAUAAAAACUAAAAAAUGUGGCUGGGCACCAUGGCUCACACCUAUACUCCCAGCACUUUGGGAGGCUCAGGCAGGAGAAUCCCUUGAGGCCAGGAAUUUGAGACCAGUCUGGACAUAACAGCCAAGACCCUACAAAGAACUUAAAAACUAGCAGGGUGGGCCUGGUGCAGUGGUUCACACCUGUAACCUCAGCAAUUUGGGAGGCCAAGGCGGGAGGAUCACUUGAGGCCAGGAAUUCAAGACGAGCCUGGCCAACAUGGCGAAACCCCAUCUCCACUAAAAAAUGCAAAAAAUAGCCCAGCAUGGUGGUGGGUGCCUAU